rnacentral:misc_RNA from 1 species
AGGAAAGUGACUCCACAACUUCCACUAGACACUCAUACGUUAUCCACCACCAAUUACAAUUUAUAAUUUGAUUAAUUAAUUCAACAUCGUAAUUAAUGUAAUAACCCCAUAAAUUAAAUAUCUAAUAAAAUUUUUUUUAAAAUAUAAAUAAAAUAAAAAUUCAUACAACGUGCAGAUACUGUAAUUUUACCCAUGUUUGCUCUUUCUUCUUCCAUUUAUUCACUUUAAUUAGGAACGUGUACACUUCAAAGCCAUUAAUUUCAUAAAAUAUCCAUUAAAAAGAGAAAAAUAUAGGCAUUCAAAAUAAAUUCUAGGAAAAAAAAAAAGGAAGAAAAAUACUUAACGGCGUUAUUACAAGUUAAAUUAUCUUCUUUCUUCAUCAUCUUCAAAUACUUACGCUGCAGCUCACCAGCAAAGAGUAUUUAACGGAGUUUUCACCGACAAUAAUCCCGGCA